GAUGAACGCUGGCGGCGUGCCUAAUACAUGCAAGUCGAGCGAACAGACGAGGAGCUUGCUCCUCUGACGUUAGCGGCGGACGGGUGAGUAACACGUGGAUAACCUACCUAUAAGACUGGGAUAACUUCGGGAAACCGGAGCUAAUACCGGAUAAUAUAUUGAACCGCAUGGUUCAAUAGUGAAAGACGGUUUUGCUGUCACUUAUAGAUGGAUCCGCGCCGCAUUAACUAGUUGGUAAGGUAACGGCUUACCAAGGCAACGAUGCGUAGCCGACCUGAGAGGGUGAUCGGCCACACUGGAACUGAGACACGGUCCAGACUCCUACGGGAGGCAGCAGUAGGGAAUCUUCCGCAAUGGGCGAAAGCCUGACGGAGCAACGCCGCGUGAGUGAUGAAGGUCUUCGGAUCGUAAAACUCUGUUAUUAGGGAAGAACAAAUGUGCAAGUAACUAUGCACGUCUUGACGGUACCUAAUCAGAAAGCCACGGCUAACUACGUG
rnacentral:rRNA from 1 species